GUGGGGAAUAUUGGACAAUGGGCGAAAGCCUGAUCCAGCCAUGCCGCGUGUGUGAAGAAGGUCUUCGGAUUGUAAAGCACUUUAAGUUGGGAGGAAGGGUAGUAACCUAAUACGUUGCUACUUUGACGUUACCGACAGAAUAAGCACCGGCUAACUUCGUGCCAGCAGCCGCGGUAAAACGAAGGGUGCAAGCGUUAAUCGGAAUUACUGGGCGUAAAGCGCGCGUAGGUGGUUUUGUAAGUUGGAGGUGAAAUCCCCGGGCUCAACCUGGGAACUGCCUCCAAAACUGCAUGACUAGAGUACGGUAGAGGGUAGUGGAAUUUCCUGUGUAGCGGUGAAAUGCGUAGAUAUAGGAAGGAACACCAGUGGCGAAGGCGACUACCUGGACUGAUACUGACACUGAGGUGCGAAAGCGUGGGGAGCAAACAGGAUUAGAUACCCCAGUAGUCC
rnacentral:rRNA from 1 species